rnacentral:misc_RNA from 1 species
GAUGAAGAACGCAGCGAAAUGCGAUAAGUAAUGUGAAUUGCAGAAUUCAGUGAAUCAUCGAAUCUUUGAACGCACAUUGCGCCCCCUGGUAUUCCGGGGGGCAUGCCUGUUCGAGCGUCAUUUCAACCCUCAAGCUCUGCUUGGUAUUGAGUCCAUGUCAGCAAUGGCAGGCUCCAAAAUCAGUGGCGGCGCCGCUGGGUCCUGAACGUAGUAAUAUCUCUCGUUACAGGUGCUCGGCGUGCUUCUGCCAAAACCCCAAUUUUUCUAUGGUUGACCUCGGAUCAGGUAGGGAUACCCGCUGACCUUAAGCAUAUCAAUAAGCGGAGGA